ensembl:lncRNA
AUGCCUGGUCCUCAGGCCACCACGACUGGGCUGCAGGAGCCCCCCAGCCCUGAAUCGAGGCUCCACAGGGUUGGAAGGAUGUUUACCAGGGCCAAGAGACCUGGAGGUGGACUGCGGAAGUUUGGGCCACCCCAGUGGCCAAGAACAUCUCCACUCCUUAAUUCCGCCAUGAGUGGAAUCUGGGACAUUCAAAAUGCCAUCCUCCUUUCUCUUGGGCCAUUUGAAGACCUCGAGUUUACCUCAAACUUCGUCCCUUCCAGCACCAGCGAAUGCCCAAAGUCACUGGCCAAUGACUUAGGCUUUUGUUUUCCUUCCCUAACAAUCUCCCCUGUGUGACAGCCACCAGCACCUCCCUAGGGCAGGAGACCCCACACUCUGCUCUCACGUAGCUGCCACCUGCAGCUAAUCUCAGCUGGCAGUUACUGUUGAAAGUUUAUGAUUCUGAUUUUGAUUAUUUUAAAAAAUUGGUGUUUUCCACCUGGAAGGAACAGACCGGAAGGGCUGGCUAAUGAAGGAACUUAGGUUUGCAAAACACUGUGAAUAAUUUAGUAUUGUAUUUCAAGGAAAAAAAUAUAGCUUUCUUAAAUCAUCCCCACAAUAUAAAUUGCAGACUUAUAGUAUGGUCCUGGUAAGUCUAAAUUUUUAAAGGAGCAAUAUUCAAAGAGACAUAGAUGUCUGUAUUAAUUAUUUAUUCGCUGGUGCCUUCCUUCGUUUCUAACUUAUUAUUAAUUAGGCGCCUCUAGUCUUUCGCAGAGCGCUCCACUGAGCCGGUUGCAGCUUUAAAUAUGAAUUAAAAGCAAAUCCAAGCUACUGUAAUGCGAAAAUUAUUCCGUGUCUUGCAUGGCAGAGAUGAAUAGCUGCGUGGAUCAAUACCGUGAAACUCGGCUCCCAACGACAGGGUUAUUGAUAGCUUAUAUUAAUGAUGUUAAUGAUGGAAAAAGGAAAACAACGGCCUACCCGACUUAGAAACUUUUUAGCCGCUGAAACCCCGCAAUAAAAACGGGAAGGGGGCAGGAAUCGGGCUUAAGUGUAAUAAGAAAAUUAUUUAUGAAACCGGAUAAAUGACUUCAGAGCCUUGAUGCAUUUGAACCUAACGCUCUCGGCUCCUGGCGGCCCCGGCUCCAGCUGGGGAGACCGCGAAAACCCCAAGCCAUGGACAGCUGGGGGGCGGGGGGCGCUCCGCUUGCCUAUGCAGCCUCCGGCUUGCCGCCCCUCUUCCUCCGUCCCCGCCGGAAGAGCCCUCUGGGGCGCUGGUCGCAGAAGCUUUGGGAAGUUGGUGGAAUGGGGUAGGGACAGGGUUGGUCCCUGCUGUCCAGGCGGGGACAGAAAGCCUGGUUAGUGGUGACCAGCGGUCUGGGAUUUGGGUUCGUUUUCUUCACGGGUUCUCUUGGCACCUGCUCGAAUGCUGUGGCCUCGUCGGGGGCCCAGGUCGGACUCUGCACUGUGGCCUCCUGCCCAUCUGGCCAAGGCUUUCGGGAUCCCCCAAAUGCAAAAGGUGCCUGGUGCCUGAGCAGGAGAGGAAAGGCUUUAUAUGAAGAGAAACCGUUCUAAACACGGUAGGAAAACUGGAAAAGGCGCUCACCCUCCUCCCCCGUCCCCCGUGCCUCCGUGGGUUCUUUACCAGGCCCAGGAUUUAAUUGGGCCUUGGCAUAAGGCUCCCAGCAAGCGCAGGACAUUCCAGGCUAGCUGUUCCCG